UACGUAGGGCGCGAGCGUUGUCCGGAUUUAUUGGGCGUAAAGAGCUCGUAGGCGGUUCGUCGCGUCGGCUGUGAAAAACCCGGAGCUCAACUCCGGGCCUGCAGUCGAUACGGGCGGACUCGAGUUCGGCAGGGGAGACUGGAAUUCCUGGUGUAGCGGUGAAAUGCGCAGAUAUCAGGAGGAACACCGGUGGCGAAGGCGGGUCUCUGGGCCGAUACUGACGCUGAGGAGCGAAAGCGUGGGGAGCGAACAGG
rnacentral:rRNA from 1 species